rnacentral:tRNA from 1 species
GGGCCUCUAGCUCAAUUCGGUUAGAGCAUCGGACUCAUAAUCCGCAGGUUGAAGGUUCAAAUCCUUCGAGGCCCA